GGGCCCGUAGCUCAGUCUGGAUAGAGCAGUGGCCUUCUAUCUCUCGGGAGUUAGCCAAAGGUCGGGGGUUCGAAUCCUCCCGGGCCCG
rnacentral:tRNA from 1 species